GCGCACCGGGGCGCAGCGAACGUGCAGGGGCACAGCGGGCGCGCCGGGAGUACCGGGGCACAGCGAGCGUACAGGGGCACAGCGGGCGUACCCGGAGUACCGGGGCACAGCGAGCGUACAGGGGCACAGGCCGGCGAUGGAGCCGGGAGUACCGGGGCACAGCGAGCGUACAGGGGCACAGGCCGGCGAUGGAGCCGGGAGUACCGGGGCACAGCGAGCGUACAGGGGCACAGAGCUCCGCGCUGCCGCCGCCCGCCCCGAAAGCAGCACUCCCCGGGCAGCGCGGCCGUUCCCUGCCGCUCCCGCCGGCCAGCCCCGCUCCAGAGGCACCGGGCGCCUUCGGAGAGGCCGCGGGGCCCCAAAUUACCUUGGACAAGAGGAGGCUCGGGUGUGACCUUACUGCUCUCUACAACUACCUGAAAGAAGGAAAAAAAUUGCACAUUUGAAGGUGGGUGAACCAAAAAUCAUUUUUCAUGCAAGUUUCUUUCUUCCAGAAUGAAUAUGCUGAAAUGAUUGUUAAGGUAAUGUUGAAAAUGUUAAUACUGUUACACUUCAAUCCUCCAAAAUGUUUUCUGUAACUAAUAUUAUAUGAAGGUUAUUUCAUUUGAUGGAUUAUGUGCCCUAAACAUUGUGCUGUAAUACAUUACAGUGAAUAAAUACAGGGAUGUUGUGUUCUUUUUCCAAGCUUUCUCUGUACAAACAUGCAUCAUAUAUCUGCAUGAUGGCAGUUGUUCUCUGUUUACAUAUUAUUUCUGAGCCCUGCAGACAUAACUUCCCUUUUUAUUUACAAGUUCAUGGUACUGAUGCUUUCCAGUUUAACAAUCAUUCUUUCUCUCCUUUAGAGAUUGUUUUUAGGAGACAGACACAGAUACACCUUAGUAUAAUGCAUUAAUACUGCGCAUGUUUGUCAUUACACAAAAUUUUGAAAAAAUAUGUAGUUGUUUAUUUUGUAAACAAAUCAAGUUAUAUUUUUGUAUGUUAAAGGUCUCAUGCCUAAAAAUAUAUGUAAUGUUUCAAUAAUCAGGUAAUGACUAUGGAUAUUUCACCCAUUCUCCUAAUUUCAGUCUUUUGUAGGGUUAAUUUUCAGGCUUCUAACUUACGGUUCUGGAUUGUCAGUAUCCAGAGGUUUUGCUUAUUUUAAUUAUUUCAAAUUCUUCCCUCCCCUAAGCUGUAUGUCUUCUACCAAAGUGUAAAAAAAUAGUGCCUACAAAAGUGUUUGUGGGACAAAAAUUUUGCUUAAAGUUGGAAAGGUGUGCUCUCCCACCUGAUAUGAGGACUGCCAGGAAAUAAGCGGGGGGAUAUUGAGGGAGAAUGAAAAUAUGGAAGAUUUACUUAAAACUGGACCUAAGAAGUCCUAAUAAAAUUAAGUUACACAAAACAUAUAGAACCUUUGGGAUUUUUUUUCCCACCAAUUUAAUUCUCUUCCUAUCUUAUUUCAGCACAGCUUCCAGUGGUUUUGAUUGCUUCAGCUCCUGCCUGCCUUGCAUAGGAUAUAAGUGAGCCAGGUUCUAUUGUCAUCUGCUUGUAAAACAUGGAAAAUACACAUUAAAUCAAAGGAGCUGAUUUAGAUUUGCACUCUGAAACUGAGUUGGGGACAUGGAAGCAUGCUUUGGCUCUGUUCUCUCUUAGCUUGAAUCCUCUGGUGGUAAAUCUAUGUUUUGAUUUCUCCUGAGGCCUUUGGAAUUUCUUUACACAGCACUCCUCCACAGACAGAAGACACUACAGAUGUGAUUGCUGUGACCAUCUUCCUGUUCUUUCUACCCUGCCUCCUGUAUUUACUGUCCUUGAAGCAGCAUGAGAUCCUGCAUAUUCAUUUUCUUUGCUUCUUCCUGUCACUCCUGGUGCUUCCCUGUAAUCUAGAACUAACUCAUGUCACCCAAUGUUUAGAUGUGUGUGCUCUACAGCCUCUCAUCCUGGACACUUUCUCUUCUCCUUCCUUCUAACCAUCUCAUCAUCUUCUCCAUCCCUUUUUUUUUCUCCAUCCCACCUGAAAGAAUUCCUCACCCUUCUUUGUGUUUUCACCCUCUUAAAUGGCAUUGAUCCUUAUCACAUUUGCCUUUAUCUGACCUGUAAUUUUCUCUUUCAGUUUCUUGCUUUUCAUCUUACUUCGUAAGACCAAGCCACGUCAGCUAAUUGCUGUAUUGCUCCUUCAGCCCAAGUGCCUGCAGAGCACUAUAUCACUAAUAAAGUCGAGGCAAAUGGACUACAGAAGAAAAAUCUUGGUAUUUGUUUGUUCAUUAAAACACACACAAACAUA